AGGGAUCAGAGGCGUGUAGCAGCCGUCCCUUUCAUUCUGUCCGAUGCAUCAGUCUUUGACUACCAUUUUUGGCUAACCUAAUGCUGUUCAAUUUUCUUCAAAUUUAUAAACAAAUAACCCAAUUACUGAUUCAUGAAACUUCAUCUUCAUCAUUGUUUGGUACCAAGAAGCCCAAGCAGAAGAAAAAACAAAAUUGCUGGCAGAAGAACAGUGUAACGUCACUUUCAUCACCAACAAAAAAUCUGAUUGUUAUCGUUUUAGGUACCAGCCUAGAGAAAAAGCAGUCAAAGCUCUACCACUUUCAAAUUCAAAUUUCAAACUCUCUUCCUCCUCUAUCUCUCUCUCUAAACCCCAAAGCUUUUGAGACUCUGAUCGGAGAUCGAACACGAUGGAUGAAGAGUAUGAUGUCAUCGUUUUAGGUACUGGUCUUAAGGAAUGCAUUCUCAGUGGUCUUCUCUCCGUCGAUGGCCUCAAAGUUCUUCACAUGGAUAUUGAAAACUGAGCUCCUCCCUCCCUCAAGGAGGUAAACUUUUCAUUCCUGAAACCUGAAUCAUGUUCUCCCAUAAGUAAAAUGGACUAAAGUGUUUCAGAAUUCAAUUAUCAGAAUUUGAGGAAAAAGGCUCACAAACCCAACGACAACAAAGAUCGAUGAAGCAGAGCACACGGCCCAGCGACAACAAAUGUUAUUGUCUGAUUUUGGGAACCUUGGCAGCUACAUUGGUGGAAAUUUGCUCGAGAUCCUAAUUUUGAGGGAUUGCAUGCAUCUCAAAGAAAUGGAAGUUUCUAAUGCUUUCACUUUGUUCAUUAUUUUAAUACAUAAGCUUAAUAAAUAGAUGUGAGGGGCGUGUGUACUCUCCACUAACCUGUUUAAGGUAUAGUUGCUAAUCAAGGUAAUUACCUACUUAAAAUAUACAUUUAAUUUAUAUGACCACAUUGAAAGAAACAAGUUGAAUCCAACUCCCGUUAGUUUCUUACUAUACAUCAAUUAUAUAGAUAUUUCAUUCAUAUGAAUUUAACUAGGUAACUAUAAAUCAAACUGUUUCAUGAUGCUACAAUAAAUAUUUUGGAAACAUAUAUUUUGAAAAGAUUAUUCAAAUUAGUAACUGUUUUGUCUAUUUUUUCUUUGAAAUAAAAAAUUAUAUACUCUCUUGUGCCAAAUGUAUUUACUAUUAAUAGUUUAUUAUUUAGAACUUUGGAAUAGGGAGUAUUUCUUCCAAUUUUGAAACUAGAGGAAAAUUCACUAUAUCAUGAAUUAAAAUAGGACAUUUAAGUAUAUUAAAAAAAAGUUUUUGUAAGUAUAUAACAUAUUCAAAGCCUCUUAAAGCUAAUGGUUUCUUAAAGCUAUUUAAUUAGUGAAUCAAUGAGACUUGCAUCCGUGAAACGAUUCUAACUGUUUUUUAUAGCUACUUUCUGUAGACUUUUUGUUUGUCAAUCUCAUAUGAAAAUUAUAGCUACUUUCUAUUUGUCAAUCAGACUUGGUUGUGUUCAGAUGAUAUUUGGGUUAGUGUUGGAAUAUGUGAUGUGUGUUCAAUCAGGCAUGGUAAACAAUUGUAGGAAGAAAACUACCAAAUUACGUAAUAUUGGACUUUUUGUUCAAUUGCUCUAUUAAUCUUAUGUCACAAAUAAUGUUCUUACUUUUCAUUUUAUUUCCCACUUUAAGCCAUUAAUAUCUUUUGGAUAGAUGAUAGUUUUUGUGAUUGUGAAUAUUUUGUUCAUAUUUGUAAAUGGUUUCAUGGUUCAUACCGACAAACUACUCAUGAUUUCAUGGUAGAAGGUACAGCAGAGCCAGACUUAGCACACACAUGUGCAUUUAUAUAUCUAUUUUUUCUUGAAUUUGUAAGUUUUAGAUGAGUUUAUGAGAUUACCAAACCUGGAAUUAAUUUCGUCAAAUAUUUGAUAUGCGAAAAUUUUGAGACAUGAUGUUUUUUCCCGUCUUUUUGCCUUUUCUUUAUCAGUCAUUUUUUUGUUUUGAAUUUGGGAUGCUAUUAGCUUAGGAAACAUUUUAUUAGGAUAAUAAUUGUUGCUCUGUCAUUGUGUGUGAUAUGACAGACCAAAAAAUUGUUUGAAAUCUUUCCUUUCUUUCUCAGUUUUCACUCUCUUCCUUACUCGUCUUCACAAAAAGACUCAUUUUAGUGAACAUGUCUACUCUGCCAAAUUGCAGGCAUGAACAAAUUCAAAUUUCUAAAUUCCUCCAAAAAUUUCAAAAACAAUAGUAGCAAUAGCAGCUCUAAAGUACAAAGAUUCUCUCACACCUCUCUCUCCUCUUCCCCAUAUACUCAUUCCUUUCAAUUAAUAUCCAAGAUUCACUAACACUUCUUUUUCACCGUAUUGUUCAAAUUUUCUUUGUAUGGAUUUGACAUGUAUAAGCAUCAAGAUACUUUUGAUAGGGUAAAUUAAUGUGUGCAUUUUUUUUUUUGAGUUUUCUAAAAUUUCUCAAAUAUUAAUUGAAAAUUUGGUUUGGAUUAUGGUGUUGUUUGAUUCUGGUGUUAUGAAGCACACUACAUUUAGUAGUUCUCUCCUUCUCCUACUCACCAUUACAUGUCUAUGUGUAUGAUUUGACUUUGCACUUGGAUAAUUGAAUUGAAAACUUUACCUGACUACUACUUCUUUAUUCUUAGUUAUAUUUUGAUUCAACAAUAUGAUUAAGGUCAUUUAUAUUUGUUUUCUAAUCAUGUGGUGUUGCUUUUGCUU